UGUACCAAACCUUUUGCCUUUGACAAAUGCACCCAGGAUAACAGGCUGCUCCAGUACUCUGCUUCUUUCUCAUGCCUGCCUUCACCUGGUCUCUGCCUGAAGACCUGCUGGCAGAAAAGGAGAAAUGCUGUACGAGGUUUAUGAAUAGGUCAGUUUGGUAUACAAACUGAAGCCCUAAGUGGACUGCUACUACUAUUGCAGGAACACAGCACACAAGAAAAGGUGUCUGUCUUUCCUGUGUAAUGGACAGGUUUUGAAUCGUGGGCCCAGAAGGAUUGUCUGAAUUAUAAGGAAUGUCCAUUUGUGCUUUAGCAACUUGAAGCUUCAGUGAAAAGAAUCAGAACACAGAGAAAACUUGCUGCUAGGACAAAAAUGAAGGAAAGAAUCAUCCCAGGAUGGUGAUACUCGGGUUACAGGCUCACAGGCAGAAGGGACUUGGCCUUUCUCAGAU
rnacentral:lncRNA from 1 species